AAUGAGUUAUAACAAAAAUAAAUCAAAAACCCAAGCCUAUUUCUGUCUCUUGUUUACGAAUUAGAGGCGAGACUCUGAUGUAAAAAUAAAAAAUGUCGUAAAAUAUAUGCUCUAUAAAUUAUAACAGUUCGCCAGUUUUGCAACAAAUAUUUAAUGAAAACUAGCAUUUUUUAUUAUUAUCAUUAUUAGACAUUACUGAAUAAUAAUAAUAAUAACAAUAAUAUUGUGGCCGGGCUUUUGUUGUUGCAGCCCCAAAGCUUUGGAAUAACUUUCCUCUAAAUGUUAGGCAGGCCCAAACAUUUGCUGUUUUUAAAUGCAGUCUUAAAACUUAUUUUUAUGCUCUGGCAUUUAACUCAGCUUGUGAGCUGUUUUUAUGUAUUUGGUUAGUGUUAUUGUUUGUUAUUUAUCUUAUGUGUAAAAUUAUUUUACUUUGGUUAUGCUUGUACAGCACUUUGGAAAACAAUUGUUGUUUUAAAAAAGUGCAUUAUAAAUAAACUUUGAUUUGAUUUGAUAAUAAUCUUCUGUCAUCUUUACGAAGUCUCUCGUUUCUUUCCGACUUGAGACCCCUCUGAUGUAAAAAAAAAAACAAACAAAAACAUAACAGAAAAAAAAAACAAAAACAAAAAACAAACAAAUAACAGGAAAAAUAAGUCCUAACUAAAACCAGACACAGAAAUGUUCGGGGGCAUAUUUGACAGGCCUCGCACUGCUGGUCCGAAACACAGAAGUUGUUACAGGCUUUCUCCUUUUAAUAGUAAACUUGCAGAUCAAGAAGUCAUCUGUGGCCAACAAAUCAUCCCCCUGGGGUAUCACAUGAAUGUGUACACUAUGUGAAUUCUCCUUCAACUUGAAUAAUGGCAAAGAAGGCCUGGUUUUGUUACCUCUGUGUUUUUAGUUUUCAGUCCAUUCCAUUGUAUUUCAAACCCCCAUGAUCUGCGAAUAAACAAAAACUGGUAAACAAUAAAAAAGGCGGUAUUAAUACAUAUAGCAUGUGUACAUGAGCAAUCAAAUCACACGAGUGUAAACUUUGAAUAAGAGCACGUCACUUCUAGGUAAAUUUACACAGAAAUUAAAUUUCGGUGCCCCUAGUUUUGGACAUAAUGCUAGGCUGAAUUUUUAUAGCGCGCUGAUCGAUAUCUUGGUAAAAUAAUCAUUUUUUUUUUUUUUUUUUUUUUUUAAACUAGCGGGGCAGUGAAAUCUUUGCUUUGUUGCUAAAGUCAACAGUGACAGAGUUUGAGCUCAAAUAAAUGCCGCGAGGCUUCCAGCUCUGUGCAGAAGGCAGCGGGAGAGGCUCCGAUACCGUUCUGCAGGCUCCAGAUUUCAAUCAAUCAGCAAUCAUCUUCACCGUCGUGCCAUGCCCCUUCAUUUGGCAACUGCUGGUUCAACCCUUUCCAUCAGCCACGUUCACCUGCAGCUACCCUCAGUCACGUCUGACCUGGAUGCAUGAGCAAGAUAACAUUCACAUCUGCAACGUCAAGAGAGAGGGGCACAAGGAAGCCUGACAUUAAUGAUUAACUGCACUAAGAGCCCCUGCUUUUGUAUUCCCAUGGUGCCGGGGCUAUCUGCCGAUCAUGUGACCUGCACCGAGAAGAUUGGGGGAGUGAGCGCAAAAGCAAACACAGGUGUUUGGGCUGGAGUUGGUCGGCGCUGUUAGGGACAACUGCAAACACAGGCUUGCCAUGCCUGAAGAUGUGAACGGCCGCCCACACCAACAGGACAGCCAACCGGAGUCACCGACUCAACGCUCUCGGCCUUGCUUUUCUCUGAACAAUUAAGGCUCUUCAUUGGCCUAUUAAAGUCUGCUCUUUGAGUACAGUUUGACCUAAGGAGCUAUGGAUUCUUAAUUAGUCAUAAAUAGGCAUAGGCUUAAAUAAAAAUAAACAAAGCCUUUUUGUAAAUAAAUAAAUAAACAUCAUGAACAUAAAAAAAAUGCUUACUUAAUGCAGCAAAAUGUGGUAAAAUUAUUGAAACUCAUAUGAGGUCUCUCAACAUUUUUAUGUUCAGAUAGAAUCCAGUGACAAUCACACGGUUUACAAGAGACUUGUCUGGUUUGUUCAUCUAAAAGUCAACUCAUUGUAAGCUAGUUUCGAGUUGAUUGAGAGAUUGAAUUAUUUUCACAUAAUUGGCUUAACUAAUUUUUAAUGCAAUCGCAAUUAAAUGUUUUAAUCUACCAAAUACACUCCUUUUGUUAAUUUAAGCUGUGUUUAAUGUAAAAUCAUUUAAGAAACAGCAUAGCAUAUUUGAUGUAAACAAUGUAAAUGAAGUUGAAGGAGCACAAAGCUUCACAGUAUGUGCAGAGGGACAUUUACCCACCUGUCUCUGCACAUUGCCACAGUACUGCAAGUUAAACAUAAAAAUAAAAAGUAGGAAAAAGGAGUUGGGGCAUUAUUAUUUAAUAAGUUUAAUUAGUCAGGUGCACAUGCUUGUUCGCAGGUAUAAAGUACACAACAGUUAAUCUAACCAUAAUUAUUAAGGGUUAUAGUUAAGAAGAUGAUAAAGCCAAAAUACCUUUAUUGUCAUGUUAAUCAUCGCAACAUAUAUUUAGAGCUUGCAGGUCUCUGAUUGAUAAUAAAUUGCAUUAAAUUUGGUAAUUUGUCGAGUUAAGUGAACUAUCACCAUGAUGCCAUGAAAGAACCAUUUUGGGUUCACAAAGAAACUGUCAGAAAACAGUUCUUAAAAGAAUCUUUUUAUUUUCUUAGCGUGAAUUAUUAUUAUUAUCAUUUAAUAAUCUAAAGAACUUUUUUAAACUGUAAAGAUCAUUUUGUGUAAUGCAAAGACUCCAUGGAUGUUAAAGGUUCUUCAUAAAAUCAUAGAUACCAAUAAAGAACCUUUAUUUUUAAGAGAGUAUAUGAAGCACUGAACGCCACAUAAGGGACCCUGUGAACUCAACUGGAUGCGACCGUCCCCCAAGCGUAUCAGUGCUCUGGGUCGGGUGACAGUAUAUGUGCCUCUUGUUGCAAAACAGACAGAUUCUGUUUUACAUAUAUUAAUAAUAUUAAUAUUUGUCAGUCAGUCAAGCAAACACUUUAAAUAAUCAAGAGGGGUAAUGAGGUUUUGACGGGGGAAAGGUGUUGGGGGCAAAAACACACACACACACACACACACACACACACACACACACACACACACACACACACACACACACACACACACACACACACACACACACACACACACACACAAUAAUAAUAAUAAGAUAUAAUAAUAAUAAUAAAAUAAAAUAAAAAAACUAUAUAAAAUAGAACAAAAAACAGACAAAAAAGGUAAGGGAGAAUACAAAAGAGGCAAUGAAUUUUUGACAUUUACUAGAAAUAUAACUGGGUAUUUAAAUUUGAUAUUUCUAUUUCUGUCAAACUUGCUAAGUCUAAGACACUACGAAAAAAGCAAUAUUUCUAAUCUGAGACAAUAUAUGGAAAACCCAAAAAAUUUCCAAAAAGUAGGCCUAUUUGAAAUGCACAUUAAUGAAUAAUAAUAAUAAAAAUCUUCUAAGGACUAAAAUUAUACUAGGAACAAAUAUUAAACUAUAGAUCAAUCUGUACUGUAUUUUGAGGCAGAUGCAUUCAUCAGAUCACUGCUUUGAAGGAUUUAAAGCAUCAGCUUUGUAGGCAUUGUCUCACUCCAACGAGAUAUGUGUCCAUUGUGGGCUGAAAGUGAGCUAAUCAAAGUGAGCCGGCAGCAAUAAGCUGCAGAUGAACGGUGCUUUGCUCAAUUGAGCUUUUGAUGUUGCAGACACAAUGCAACAUGUGAAAAGAGCAAGUAUCCUAAGAAGGUUUUUUUUUUGUUGUCUGGCUCCACACCUAUAAUGAGGUCACACAGCAGCCUGCGCUAAAGCUGUCUAGUGUAUUCAUUCCCAUGUUAAAAGAUGCCACCAAUACACAAACUUAGGAAAAGAAGGAAUUUAAGAAUUUUUUCUGGUGUCAAACUGGCGAUCUGGUAAAUC